rnacentral:rRNA from 1 species
CAGUCGCCACGGUAAUACGAAGGGUGCAAGCGUUACUCGGAAUUACUGGGCGUAAAGCGUGCGUAGGUGGUGGUUUAAGUCCGUUGUGAAAGCCCUGGGUUCAACCUGGGAAUUGCAGUGGAUACUGGGUCACUAGAGUGUGGUAGAGGAUAGUGGAAUUUCCGGUGUAGCAGUGAAAUGCGUAGAGAUCGGAAGGAACAUCUGUGGCGAAGGCGACUAUCUGGGCCAACACUGACACUGAGGCACGAAAGCGUGGGGAGCAAACAGGAUUAGAUACCCUGGUAGUCCCUGUCUCUUAUAA